rnacentral:rRNA from 1 species
AUGGCAUUGCAAUCUGGCCCGACAAGUAUUGAUAUUCAGAAGAGGAAGCACGGGGCUAAGGUGGAUGGGGAGGUAGAGUACAAAGUUGCGGCGAAAGGGAGGAGGCGGGGCAGAGGAAGCGGAGCCUUGGGGGAGGAAAGGAGGGGCGGUGGCACCUUAGCAAAGGGAGGAAAGGACAUGAACGGGAGGAGGGAUGGUGACGACUGGGAGAAGCGGGCGAGGAAGGAGCAAAGUUGUGUGUGGAAUCCAAUCGAAAACCAACCCCGGAUCCCUACACACGACCCAGCAUGGACCCGGUUAAUAUCCGAAAUCGGCAACCUCAACCGACUCUGGAACAUCAACUCUAGGGAGCUUCACUGGUCUGUACCUUAUAUAACUGCUUCCUUCUACAUGACUUUGAGAAAUACAGUGGACUUGAAAAGGUUGAAAUGCGGGGAAUGCCUACUGUUGCUCAUCGUCCAUGUUUAUGUGAAGGAAAACACUCCCAUACAUGAACAGAUGAGGAAUCUACUCGGGGAGCACUGUGCGGUACUCAUAUGGGCAGCGAGCCGCUUUGGAUCCACCCUCGACGCGGAGCAGAGGCAGAUGGCCCUGCAAAUACAGGGGAUGAGAGUCGUUGAAUCCCUGGAGCCCUACUAG